rnacentral:rRNA from 1 species
UAAAUGGCCGCGGUAUUUUGACCGUGCAAAGGUAGCAUAAUCAUUAGUUUUUUAAUUGAAAGCUGGAAUGAAGGGUUGAAUGAGAAAAUAACUGUCUUUAUAGUAUUUAAUUAGAAUUUUAUUUUUAAGUUAAAAAGCUUAAAUUGUAUUUAAAGACGAGAAGACCCUUUAGAGUUUUAUAAUAUCUUUAUUUUUAAUUUUUUAGUAUUAAUUAUGAGAAAGUUUGAUUUUAUUUGGUUGGGGUGAUUAAAAAAUUUACAAAACUUUUUUUUUUAUAUAACAUUGAUAUAUGAUUAUAUGAUCCAUAUAUUAUGAUUAUAAGAAUAAAUUACCUAAGGGAUAACAGCGUUAUUUUUUUUGAGAGUUCAUAUCGAAAAAAAAGAUUGCGACCUCGAUGUUGGAUUAAAAUUAAAUUAUGGUGUAGAGGCUAUAACUUUAGGUCUGUUCGACCUUUAAAAUUUUACAUGAUCUGAGUUUAAACCGGUGUAAGCCAGGUUGGUUUCUAUCUUAAAUUUUUUAUAAUAUUUUAGUACGAAAGGACCAAAUAUUAUAUUUAUAAAUAUAAUAUAAUUUGAAUUAAAUU